rnacentral:rRNA from 1 species
AUUCCAGCUCCAAUAGCGUGUAUUUAAGUUGUUGCAGUUAAAAGGCUCGUAGUGGGAUUUUGGGUCGGGGGCACCGGUCCGCCGUUCCGGUGUGCACUGGUGGCCCCUUCCUUUCUGCCGGGGACGUGCGUCGCACUUAAUUGGGUGGCGUUCGGAGUCGGCGUUGUUACUUUGAAAAAAUUAGAGUGUUCAAAGCAAGCCAUCGCUCUGAAUACAUUAGCAUGGAAUAACAUGAUAGGACUCCGGUCUUAUUUUGUUGGUUUCCGAGACUGGAGUAAUGAUUAAGAGGGACAGUCGGGGGCAUCCGUAUUUCAUUGUCAGAGGUGAAAUUCUUGGAUUUAUGAAAGACGAACGACUGCGAAAGCAUUUACCGAGGAUGUUUUCAUUG